GUUAGAGACAUGAGUAGAGGGCUCACCGCUGUAGCUCUGGGACCAAGCGACUCUAUGUGGGUGAGAAAACUGGACUGGCCCCGACGUGAGCCGAGCACGGAGGGCUGCAACACUUCAAACACACGUGCAAGGGUUAUGCGAUCCUCUCGGCACAAGAGAGCCACUCUGGUGUGAAUGUGAGCGAACAAGGGAGGGAAAAGAUUUGUCUGCGAGCACUAGGGUAACGAAUGGGCGAGACAAAGGACCAGGAGUCAUAAAGAAUAAAUCACUGGGCUAAAUGAACAAGGGAAUGAAUGAAAAAUGGGAAGGUGAGAGAGAGCAGAACGUGCAGGGAAGUGGGAGUCAGUCAGAUAAAAAGAAAAAAAAAGGAAAUGAGAGAAGCUGGAAACGAGGGAGAAGGAGGAGGAGGAGGAGGAGAACUAAGGGUGGAGAAACAUACAGGGGGAGAAGUGAAUGUUCAGCGUAACGAUGUCCAACAUGAGACACAACUGGAAUCCAACCAGACUGAACACUGAGUCGUCACUUCAACACUGACUCCAGGGAUGGACGAGCCUGAAGGACACAGCUGUGCUGACCAUGUUCUGUCUCUUAUGGCAAAGACGAAAAAUAAAACACUGGGUUCUUAUCUAAAGUGUAUCAAAUCAGAAAGCAAAAGAUAAACAUUGUUCUAAUAAGUGUCAAUUUUUAAUACCCAACCAUAAUGACUAUAGAAAUUAACUCUAUUAUCCAUGACACUUAGCAAUAAAGUAAACAGUUGCAGGCCGUCUUUAAUUAAGGGAGGAAUACAUGAAGCUGUUGCAGUCGUCCUCAUGUUGACCAGCCUGAAGCUGCCGAUCUCCACCAUGUUGCUGCUGAGGACAUCAGGUGCUGCAGUUCUUCAUCUAAUGAAAAGAAGAAACUCAUUACUAAAGAGUGUUUUGUGUUGUGUAUGAAGCGCCACAGAUUUUCAAACAGAAUCGAUGUACUAGGCUCUGGAUUUGUACCCUCAUGGUUAAAUGCACAUAUUUUAAGUCGCUUUGGAUAAAAGUACUGAAAAAUACAAAACAUUUUACAAAUAG